GAUGAACGCUGGCGGCGUGCCUAAUACAUGCAAGUCGAGCGAAUGGAUUAAGAGCUUGCUCUUAUGAAGUUAGCGGCGGACGGGUGAGUAACACGUGGGUAACCUGCCCAUAAGACUGGGAUAACUCCGGGAAACCGGGGCUAAUACCGGAUAAUAUUUUGAACUGCAUGGUUCAAAAUUGAAAGGCGGCUUCGGCUGUCACUUAUGGAUGGACCCGCGUCGCAUUAGCUAGUUGGUGAGGUAACGGCUCACCAAGGCAACGAUGCGUAGCCGACCUGAGAGGGUGAUCGGCCACACGGGGACUGAGACACGGCCCAGACUCCGACGGGAGGCAGCAGUAGGGAAUCUUCCGCAAUGGACGAAAGUCUGACGGAGCAACGCCGCGUGAGUGAUGAAGGCUUUCGGGUCGUAAAACUCUGUUGUUAGGGAAGAACAAGUGCUAGUUGAAUAAGCUGGCACCUUGACGGUACCUAACCAGAAAGCCACGGCUAACUACGUGCCAGCAGCCGCAGUAA
rnacentral:rRNA from 1 species